UUGUACUUAAGUACAGUGAGUAAAUGUACUUGAAAUUAUUUAUUGUUCCACCAUACAGGAAUAUUCAUUUAUGGUGAAUUAACAGUGGCAGAUUAUCACAGUUAGCAAUAACACAAGAUGGUCACGUUCAUUUAUUUAAAAUGAACCAAGUGAAGUUAAAGGAACAAUCCAACAUUUUCAGUUACAGUAAGAAUACACACAAUACCGGUUUAAUCUCUGUGUGUCCAGGAUGUUUUAGCUUAGCACAAAGACUGGAGGCAGGGGGAAACUGCUAGCCUAGCUCCAUCAAAAGGGAAGGAGCAAGGUCACAGUUUCCCAAAAUAUGAAUUGUAUUAGCAGUUGAAGUGACAUGUAGACACUUAAAGCAUUUCAAAUGUCGUUUGAAGUUUAAACACUGUACGCAGUGUUUAUGGGUGAAAGCAGUUCAAGUGUGAGCGAAUGUAAGCGCUUGAAAUUUCAGCUCAAGUGUAUGCUUUGAAAAGCAGUUGAACUGUCAGUUGAAGAGUACGAGAUUAAAGCAGUUAAGGUGUCAGUUGAAGAGUAUGAGAUGAAAGCAGUUAAAGUGUCAGUUGAAGAGUAUGAGAUGAAAGCAGUUGAAGGGGCAGUUGAA